AGUCCCGUAGUGUACAGCACACAAGAUUGCAAAUCUUCGAGAGCAGAAUGACAUCUGCCGGGGCUU
rnacentral:tRNA from 1 species